AACGGUUCUUGUCAAGGUCCAUGGCAGGCUGCUCACUUGCAUUUUACACAGCCGUGUUAAGCACGUGGGCCAGAACAAGCACCAACAAGCUCCUCCCUGAAACGAGUCCUGCAGGAGACGAGGGAAGAAUCAUGUGGAACAUUCCAAGGAAGAAGCAAGUGAACAAGGAGAUUAUGAAUAGGUAAGGCAAGAGAUGGUGAUGAUUUGGAGAGAAGAUGAGAUUACAGCCAUGUUGAUCUUGAGGUGCCGCCCUGAAGGACAAUGGAGUCUGGAGUGAGAACAGGGGUCUGGGAAAUCACUAUGUGGGCUCCAUGGGCACUGACAGCAGAAGAAAUAUCACCAUUUAAAUAAUAAUCGAGACUUCCGGCCAAAAUGGUGAAGUAAGUAAACACAGUGCUCACCUCCUCCUGUGACCACAUCAAGAUUACACCUAAAUUACAGAACAACCACCAUGCAGAACCACCUGAAGACUAGCUGAACAGAAUUCCCAUAAAUAAAGAUAUA